ACUCCUACGGGAGGCAGCAGUGGGGAAUUUUGGACACUGGGCGAAAGCCUGAUCCAGCAAUGCCGCGUGUGUGAAGAAGGCCUUCGGGUUGUAAAGCACUUUUGUCCGGAAAGAAAUCCUUGGCUCUAAUACAGUCGGGGGAUGACGGUACCGGAAGAAUAAGCACCGGCUAACUACGUGCCAGCAGCCGCGGUAAUACGUAGGGUGCGAGCGUUAAUCGGAAUUACUGGGCGUAAAGCGUGCGCAGGCGGUUUGCUAAGACCGAUGUGAAAUCCCCGGGCUCAACCUGGGAACUGCAUUGGUGACUGGCAGGCUAGAGUAUGGCAGAGGGGGGUAGAAUUCCACGUGUAGCAGUGAAAUGCGUAGAGAUGUGGAGGAAUACCGAUGGCGAAGGCAGCCCCCUGGGCCAAUACUGACGCUCAUGCACGAAAGCGUGGGGAGCAAACAGGAUUAGAUACCCUGGUAGUCCCAUG
rnacentral:rRNA from 1 species